CGCACCCCCGUCAGACCCGGGGCGGGAGAGUGGGGGGGUCAGCAGGAGUAGGUCCGGACCGUGGAGGGCUCCAGUCUCUGCGCCCCCGCCGUCCCGGCUGGCAGGAGUCGGCAGCGGCGGGAGAACACACAGAGCGCGGUGAGACCAGAACACACGGACAAUGAUUGGUCAGGUGACCAGAGACAUGCUCCUCCAGAGGAUACAGGGAGCAACCUCCACUCUCUGCUCCCCAUCGAUGCCAACCGAUUCUCCAAUCACCUCUCUGCAGAGGGUCCCCAGAGCCCCAAUCCCACAGGAUGGAUCACUGGACAGGCCGCCCAACACUCCUAACAGAGCCACAGCUCACUGCCUUGUAGCCAAGCCUCAUCUUCCAGCCUGUGUUUUCAGAACUGCACAGGCCCCGUGACUCGGUUAGGGUGAGCAGGAACAAGGCCACUGACCCCUGUUCUUGUUUCAAUGACUCCUCCCAUCUCCGGUGCCUCUGGAUUUGUAAUCUAUGCCCUUGGGGUGACCAACGCCCUAGUCACUUGUCAUAGACCCAUCCCAGAAGCACUUGGAUGCACUUUCAAGAUUUUUUUCGGGGGGGGGGGGGUUGGGGAUUUAGCUCAGUGGUAGAGCACUUGCCUAGCAAGCUCAAGGCCCUGGGUUCGGUCCCCAGCUCCGGAAAAAAAAAAUAUUUUUUUCGUUACUGUUUCUUCCCCUUCGCCCCUUCCUUUGCUCCCCUCAGUCCCCUCUUAUCUCUCCUCUUAUUUUCCUCCUUUCUAUCAUGCUCUAUUGGAGUGAGCUGCACGGUUUUUGUUGUUAUUGGAAAAGACUGUAGCCCCUGAUCCUGGUGGGUCCUAUCUGGGAGUGCUGUCUGCCUCGGUAACUGUUAAAUGAAUGGACAGCAGGAGUCCUGUUCCUUAAUUUAGCAAGGUCUGAAGAUGGAGGACCCAGAAGUAUAUGGGGGUGGGGGGAGGAGUACACAUGUGGUAUGUCUGUGAAGUCGCAGGACAACUUGUGGAGUUGAUUAUCUCUUUCUGCCUUUGUAUAAGUUCCAGGGAUCAAAUUCAGAUCAUCAGGCUUGUAUGGCAAGGGCUUUUACCUGCUGUGCCCUCUCACCAGUCCCGGGCUCUUUUUUAACCUGCUAAAGCCAUGUCAGCUAAGGCAGACCUGAAUGGGAAGGUCAAGGAAGAUUGGUGCCAGGAAACAGGUAGGGCAGAAGAGCAGAAGAGGAAGUGCUGGCAGGGGCUUAGGAUACAUCACAGCUCAGAACAUGAGCCUUCCCUGAACUCAAAGGGGAGGCCUGAUGAGAUGAAGGUCACCGGAAAGGCUGAGAAUGCAGAACGAGUGCAGAAGUAAACAGAGGAGCAAAGCAACAAAGAGACCAGGGAUGACAGAGGCCUGGGCUUCUCCUGGGGAGCCUCAUUCGGCUCCUCAGCCGAGCACCUGUCCUCAAAUCACCACAGGGCUGGAGGACUAUCUCACCAAGCUAUGUCACCAAGCUAUGUCACCAAGCAGGGAGAGAAGCAGUGGGGUCUGAGACACGGAGACGGAAGAACCACCCCCAAAGAUAUGGCUGACAGGGAAGACCUUUGACCCUGCAUGGUUGAGAGGACUGAGCCUUGAGGGGGAAGAUGCUAGAAGUGUAACACAGGAGGGUUGGUUCUUGUACAAGAAACGAGUUUGGCAGAGGCUUCUCCACAGCAGGCCACUGAGACCCAACACAGGCCUCCUCCUCACAGCCUUCAUCCUCCAUCCCUCCCGGCUCUGCUCCUUUAGGCCAGCCACCAUUUAUCAGCCCUGGGGCAGGAGAUCUCAUGAAUCUCUAUCCAGCCAGCCAACAACAACCAAGGCUCUGAGUUCAAAUCCAGGUACUCACGUCAUCCAAUUUCCUGUCUGUGCCCAAGGCCAACAGGUUAUUGAACUCUCUCUCCAUCACUUGGCGGGCCUGAAACCCAUAGGGUAAGAGGGAGAAAGAGGAGCUCUAGUUAAUAACGCUAUCUUACUCUUUAAAAGUUUACAUUAAUUUGGUUUUUAUAUCAUCACACAUUAGUGUGUGUGUGUGUGUGUGUGUGUGUGUGCUUGUGCACACACUAGCGCAUAUUUGCAACUAUGCACUGUGUAGGUCGGAGGACAAUCUCGAGAGUUGCUUCUCUCUUUAUGCGGGUCCUAGGUAUCCAACUUAUGUCAUCAGGCUUGGCGGCAAGUGCUUUAACUUCCUAAGCCAGCUCACCAGCUUCAUCUUUUUCUUUCCUUUUUUUUUUUUUUAUGGGGGCGGGGCAGGGGUGUGCACACAGUAAAUGCAUGUGCAGAGGAUAACAAACAAGAAUUGGUUCUCUCCUACCAUGUGGAUUCUGGGGACUGAACUCGGGUUGUGACUCGUGGUGGCACCUUUACCCACUGAGCCAUCUCAACUUCCUCCUUAAGGCGUCUUCCAGCUGUUCCCUAGAGUCUCGGGGCAGAAAUGGAGCAGGGGUCUAGUGUACUUAACCACUGGAAGUACACGCUUUCCUGAGGCUACUGUUCCCAGCAAAUCACUAAUAGUGUUCUACCAGAAGUCAGACUGUUAACCUUUUAAAAAUAGGAUCACAGAGCACAUGAAGAAACAGGCUUUACCUAUUGGGGGGAAAAACAACCUAUUUUCACUAAUUGGACUCGGGGAGUUAUAACAAGAAAGAAAGAGGACCAGAAGCUGGGGGGAGGCACUCGUAGGAACUGGAGAGAGGCUACAGUAGUCAAAGAUGUUCACAAUAAAUUAUCCAAACACAUGCAAAUGUGUGAGCAAAUAAAAAUCAUUAUUUUAAAA